UGGGUCUCAAGGUCGCGCCGGGCUGCACUUUGCUUCGCGGACGUUGCGAUGCUGCAGCCAGUUCUGCAAGUCCCGCCGGGCGGGGCCCUGGCUGGGUGCUCUGAGGCCGCCGUGUUCCCUCCCAGCUGGCACUUCUCACUUCCUAAAUAUGAUGGAGCGUGUUUAACGAGCACUCAGCUACCACCUGGUUUAUUCUGCGGUGUUGUAUCAACCCUCAAAAAGCCAACUCCAGAGUCUCCAGCUAUAAGCCAAAGUGCUUUCAAAAGAACCAGGAGGGAGGCGCCUGGCUGGCUCAGUCGGUGGAGCAUGCGACCCUUGAUCUCGAGGUUGCAACAAAUCGAGCUUUCAUUUUGCACCAGCUGGUCUAGGUACCGAGGAUGCAUCCGCGAGCAGUCACAAAUCCCUGCCCUCGUGGAAAUGCCAUUCUAGGGGGAGAGACGGUUCAUAAAGUGAAAGGUGAAGCCUACGACAUGUAACGUGAUGAGCAGCUCUGGGAACAGCUUCUAUUUGCACAACAGCUGUGAAAAGAGUGACCUUCGCUGACCUUUGUGUGACAAUGAAUGUGGACUGAGCAAUCAUCAUAGCAGGCACUGCUUUCCUGUGACUUUCAUAUUCUCAUAAGAAAGGGGGUCAGGGUUUGAAUCUAAAACCACGCAACUCUAAUGUCUCUGUUUUUAGGCCGCUGGAUCCUGCCCUGACCCUCAUCCGCAUGCACCCUGCAGGCCCUGGGCAGCACCACAGCGCCGUGAGGCCGGGCGUGCAGCCCCUGAGCGCAGGGCGCUGAGGGGUCAGCGGGUUUGCGAUGAUGGGUCUCCGCCUUCCGUGCAGAAGGCCUCGCCUGGUCCUGGCAGUGGCUGCCUGGUGGCCUCUUUCAGCCCCUGCCCGGUGUGUCGCUUGGGGACAGCCUGGAUGUGGCUGGGGCAAGGCUACAGGUGGCCUCAGACUCCAGAGAAGCCACCGCUGCCCCAGCCCCUGUGUCCUGUUCUCCCAAAGUGGAGUGUACAGCAUGGGGGAGGGUACUUACUCUCCAUGUCCCUUCUCUGCCUUGGUGACAGGGAGCCGGACCUGGGAAGAAAUGGAGCGCACACAGAGUACUGUGUGCUCACUGCUGUUUUGCGGGAGCUUAGGGUCUGAGGGUGAACGAUGGGGCUCCCCCCUUCCCGUCUGCAGUGGCCCAGUGUGCACAGGGGAAUGCGUUCCAUCCUUCUGGUAAUAAGCCGUGUGGCCUCUCUGGGACUCAACACCUUUGCCUAUAAAAAGGGGAGCACUCGAGUGAUCCCUAGGUGGCUCAGCUGUUUAGUCCUGCCUUUGGCCCAGGGUGUGAUUCUGGAGACCCAGGAUCGAGUCCCACAUCGAACUCCCUGCAUGGAGCCUGCUUCUCCCUCUGCCUG